rnacentral:rRNA from 1 species
UACGUAGGGGGCUAGCGUUGUCCGGAUUUAUUGGGCGUAAAGAGCGUGUAGGCGGCCAUGUAGGUCCGGUGUGAAAACUCGAGGCUUAACCUCGAGAUGUCAUCGGAAACCAUUUGGCUAGAGUCCGGAAGAGGAGAGUGGAAUUCCUGGUGUAGCGGUGAAAUGCGCAGAUAUCAGGAAGAACACCAAUGGCGAAAGCAGCUCUCUGGGACGGUACUGACGCUGAGACGCGAAAAGCGUGGGGAGCGAACAGG